UACGUAGGGGACAAGCGUUGUCCGGAUUUAUUGGGCGUAAAGAGCGUGUAGGCGGCCUGAAAGGUCAGCUGUGAAAACUCGAGGCUCAACCUCGAGACGUCGGUUGAAACCAUCUGGCUAGAGUCCGGAAGAGGAGUGUGGAAUUCCCGGUGUAGCGGUGAAAUGCGCAGAUAUCGGGAAGAACACCCGUGGCGAAGGCGGCACUCUGGGACGGUACUGACGCUGAGGCGCGACAGCGUGGGGAGCAAACAGG
rnacentral:rRNA from 1 species